UACAUUUCAAAGUGAUGAGAUAAAGUCAAAAUCAUAGUUUGCUUUAAAAGAUUUGCACAAUAAUGUAUUUCAAUCUCAUAUGAAUAUUCCCAAAAAAAAUCUCAUAUGAAUAUGUCAAUUUUACAAGUUUAAAUGUCUGAUAUAUCCUUAAAUAUUAAUUGUUUAGCAACCAUUGGAACAUAAUGCUUGAGUGAUAACAAUAAAAAUUGCUUUAGAUUUCCCAUUUGAUUAUAUGUAUGAUUAGAUUAAAAUAAUGUUCUCCUCCUACGCACCAAAUUAUUUUAAAUCUUUUCUUUAUAGCUCAGUUGUUCAAAAGCAUUUGCCUUUACAUCGGAGGUGUUGAUUCGAAUCUUCUCCUUAUAGUUCAAAUGAAUUUAAAUUAAAUUAUCUUAACGUUUGUUAAAAAAAAAACUAAAAUAUCGCUAAAAAAAUGGUAUGAACUAACCCAAGUAAGAAUAAUACUUGUGUUUUUUCAUUGGGGGAAUACACAUAUCUCACAUUUUACGAAUAACAUUCGGGCCAAACUUCAGGUAGAGUGGGAAAAGAGAAUUAACAUUAGGAUAUAUUAUUGGUUUGAUAUCGAGAGGUCGAGAUUGUAUGUUGUAGAUUGUCACAAACAUGAUAUUGGAAACCAAAUAAACGUUAGAAGACUCCACUUGCAUAAGUUAAGAAGUAGACUGAUGAACAAAAUGAUUCCUAACCAUUCCACAGAAGAGAUAGAGGGAGACAUCUAAUUAGCAUAUUUUUAUAAAGUAUGAAAGAGAUAUAAAGCGAAGAAAAUAGAGUGACAGAGAUUUGAAUUUUAAUAUCCAAUUUGUGUGAUGGGGAUUACAUGCAUAUGGGUGGUAGUCAAAAUAUACACCUCAAGAUCGAAAGCAGACAACUAAAUCAAACUCAGGCCGUAAUAUAAUCCUCUAACACCCUAUGGGAGAAAUCUAUAUCUUUCAUCUCAUUGCAUCCUCCAAUAAGAAUGGGAGGAUGUUGCCAAGUGGCAACCACCUCAUUUUCAUUUCUAAAGUCUGUUUAGGGCUGGUUGUAAUUUAAGUGAUUACGAGCAUGUACUUUUCAAUUUUAGGUGUCAUGCAUACACGGUUUACUUUAAGAGAUUUUUUUUUUUACUUUUUUAUCAUCUUUUGUUCUGGAGGGUUUCGAACAAUAAAUCUUUCAAACUCCUACAUUAUCCACCAUCUAUCACCAGGCUAACCCCAAUAUUUUGAGAACAAAAAGUAUUUUAUUUUAUCCUUCAUUAUCUUUGUUGUGCUAAAUUCCUACAUUAUCUUCAUGUUAUUUUUGUUGGCUUACAAUCAUAUCACAUACAUAUUUUGGAUUUAAUUGGAUUGUUGUUACAUUUCAAAGUGAUGAGAUAAAGUCAACAUCAUAGUUUGCUUUAUAAGAUUUGCACAAUAAUGAAAAAAAUAUCUCAUAUGAAUAUGUCAAUAUUACAAGUUUAAAUGUCUGAUAUAUCCUUAAUUAAAUAUUAAUUGUUUAGCAUGACACACCCCGACCCAGAGGAUCAAGGCGUGCUGGCCGUCACGUGAGCGUGACGUAACCAAAAGUGCGACGCGGAAGCAAGAUAUAAC
rnacentral:lncRNA from 1 species